ACUAGCGCUAGGUGUUCUGGGGGGCUUCCCCCGGCCGGGACUCCCAGGAGAGCUCGGGGUCCUGAUCCCAGCCGGGGGUUUCUCACAGCCACGACCGGGGCCUUCAUCUCCCGGAGCUCAGGGCCGGGAGGGGCCCCAGGUGCGCAGCCCCACAGCCCGCCCCGCCCCCGCCCCCGCCCCCGGAUUUCCCCCACACCGCGGGGCCAGGACAAAGGGGGACGGAGCCGGACGCCGGGAGCUUCCUGAGCCGCCGCUGAUGGAAGCCAGAAGCCUCCUCCUCGGGGCUGACGGCGCGGCCCCGUUCGCUGGUCCGGGGGGAGGGGGGAGAGAGGGCAGAAAAGCGAGGAGCUCCACUUCCUCGAUCGCCCAUUACUUGGGAGAUAAUUGAGUCACGGCUUGAUUAGCCGAUUGCCUCCAGGCUGCUUUUCCCUCAUUUUUCAGCCGGGGCCCGGCCUGUCUGGGCCAGUUAGCCGGAGGACGCGGGCCGGGUCGGACGGAGCAGACAGGCCCCCCUGCCUCCUGAAGCUGCCCCUCCUCUCCUCCCCCCCCCCAGUCUCCUGAGGCCCCCCCCCCUUCCCCCCGCCCCCCGGGCUCCAGCCGUUCUGACAGAGAGAAAGUGGCGCGUCUGGGGCCGGAGCCGGCCUGGGGAUGGCGGGGAUGAGGAGCCAGGGACGGGAAAUGCGAUUCUCUUCCAAUUCCUUCCUCCCGAAAAGCGCAUUUAUCUGCAUCUAGCGGCUGUCGAGAGACAGGUGGCGGAGGGAGGCAGGCGGGGAGGCCGUGGCGGUGCGGCCACUGAGGCAGGGCCCCAAACCCGGAGGACUUCCCAGAGGCCCUUGCGGGGGGCCGAGCCGGCGAAAUCCCCAGCCCUGCGUCCUCCUUCUGGGCAGCAACAGGCCCUUCUCUGCUUGUUUGCCCCGGGAAGGGGACUAGAAGCUGGAAGCCCCGAGGGCGAAGCCUGCUUCAGAUCCCUCUGGGUUGUGUGACUCUGGGCAGGUCACUUAACCUCACUCAGUAACUUCAUCUGUUAAAAAAAAUAGGUAAUAAAUCCGCCUUCCACGGUUCCAUGGAGGAUGGAGUGAAAUACUAUCUCUGAAGUACAUCAUGAACUCUAAAGGCUUAUAUAAGUAUUAGACUGGAAGAGCCAGUGAAUUUUGUCGACUCGGUUUAUCAAGAUUUAUUAAAGAACGUGACAAAGCCUGCCAGGCCGGGAGCUGGGUUUUUACACAGAGGAAAGAUGAAAAGAGAUCUGUUGACGUGAAUAAAAAACGUCCUGUCGAUUAAAAAUUUAAAAAGAUUGAAGAAAAGAAUGAUGGCUCCCUUCGUCACUAAACAACUGGAAUUGGCCUGAAUCAU